GAUGAAGACGUAGUGAAAUGCGAUAAUUAAUGUGAAUUGCAGAAUUCCGUGAAUCAUCGAGUCUUUGAACGCACAUUGCGCCUCAUGGCAUUCCGUGAGGCAUGCCCAUCUCAGCGUUAGAAAAUAUUCUCAAAUUUUAGUUUUGUGCUAAAAUUUGGAUCAUGUCAAGGAAGCUAUUACUAUUAUUGUGAUCGCUCUUUGGAAAUUGAUAGGUCUUUGAGUUGCUACUCAUAGAACGUGAUGAAUCUUUCUUCGUUCUAUUGUAAUUCACUCUGGUAGUCCUAAAACUUGUAUGCCUGUGGCAUAUCUUGUAAUUUGACCUGAGAUUGGGUAGGGAUACCCGCUGAACUUAAGCAUAUCAAUAAGCGGAGGA
rnacentral:misc_RNA from 1 species